rnacentral:miRNA from 1 species
ACUGGACGAAGUACUUCUUAUA